AGAUAGAAGCAAAAGCAUGCCUUGAGAGAAGAGAACAUCACAAAGCUAGAAUCUACAUUUGGGGCUAUAUUCUCCAGUUCAUAUGCUUUCCCAAUCCAUCACUGAACUGAUCCUAUAAUCCUUAGCCUCGUCACUCAACAGAGACCUCAUCUGUCAGCUGAGUUGUGCAAGAGCCUUCCGAUGGGGCUGUGGAGUGUGUGUCCUGAGAAAGCUCACAGACCAAAAAUGACCCAGGACGUGAAGACACACAGCAAGUAUUGCGUAACCAUCAAAGAGGUUCCCAGGUGUGUGAACUUAGACAGGAAUUUGUCCUGAGGCCUGGGAAAACUUUUUUUUUUAUAAGCCAUCUAUAUCCUAGUCCCCGAAAGCAGUCACUAAAAUGAGUCAACUCCUGCGCCUCCACCCUGGCCGGCACCGAAGUUCACCGCUGGGAACAGGAAUGUAGAGCUUACAUGACUUUCACAGAAUCACCAGCAACGUCAGAGUGAGGGAUCCAUCCCCAAGGUUCCUCAGAAGAUAACUCAUCUCCACACAGGCGCCUGGGCCUUCAACAGAUAAGCAAGUUUAUUCAAAAAAGGCAAAAUGUCAAUGGUAAGCAAAAAAUAUAAGAUAUAAUUUAGAAAUAGUCCCAUGGAUCAAACCGGGCAUUAAACACGGUAAUGGAGCACUCUGCCAUGACUACAGCCCAACCCCCGUGGAAUUAUAGAAGAAUAAUGUGGAUGAGAUGAUGCAGCGUUCAAAAGAGACAUCUUGUUCUUCCUGUGGACCCGAGUUCAGUUCCCAGCACCUCCUCUGGACCACUCACAACAGCCUGUGACUCCAGCUUCAGGGGGUCCAAAUCCCUCUCCUGGUCCCCACGGACACCGCCACACAAUCACACGGACAACAUGCACAUCUAUCUGAAUAAAAACAAAUCUUUUUAAAAAA